rnacentral:misc_RNA from 1 species
UGGUUCUGGCAUCGAUGAAGAACGCAGCGAAAUGCGAUAAGUAAUGUGAAUUGCAGAAUUCAACGAAUCAUCGAAUCUUUGAACGCAUAUUGCGCCCAUUAGUUUUCUAGUGAGCAUGCCUGUUCGAGCGUCAUUUCAACCCUCAAGCCUUUUCGGUUUGGUAUUGGGGCUAUCUGUUUAGUACAGGCCCUGAAAGAUAUCGGCGAGCCCGUUGUAAAUCCUAGCGUAGUAGAUUAUUCUUUUCGCUUAGGAGUUUACAGUAGGAAUUUUAGCCGUUAAAACUAUCAAUUUUUUAAGGUUGACCUCGGAUCAGGUAGGAAUACCCGCUGA